rnacentral:rRNA from 1 species
AUUGAACGCUGGCGGAAUGCUUUACACAUGCAAGUCGAACGGCAGCACGGACUUCGGUCUGGUGGCGAGUGGCGAACGGGUGAGUAAUGUAUCGGAACGUGCCCAGUCGUGGGGGAUAACGUAGUGAAAAUUACGCUAAUACCGCAUACGAUCUAUGGAUUAAAGCGGGGGAUCGCAAGACCUCGCGCGAGUGUAGCGGCCGAUAUCAGAUUAGGUAGUUGGUGGGGUAAAGGCCCACCAAGCCAACGAUCUGUAGCUGGUCUGAGAGGACGGCCAGCCACACUGGAACUGAGACACGGUCCAGACUCCUACGGGAGGCAGCAGCGGGGAAUUUUGGACAAUGGGCGAAAGCCUGAUCCAGCCAUUCCGCGUGCAGGAUGAAGGCCCUCGGGUUGUAAACUGCUUUUGUACAGAACGAAAAGGUUUCUACUAAUACUAGGAGCUCAUGACGGUACUGUAAGAAUAAGCACCGGCUAACUACGUGCCAGCCGCCGCCGUAA